rnacentral:lncRNA from 12 species
AAAAAAAAAGAACAUCUGAUAAAAGAAACCCCGGUUACACUGACCAGCAGAUGCUAUCUUGAUUAAUAUGUAUUCUUUCACCAUUAACCAGAUAAAUGUUAAACAGAAGCUGGUGGGAGCUGUUGUUAGUUGAGUAAUCAGUGGAUGAAAUCACCUAUGAAAUGAAAACAAAGCAAAAACAAUAUAAAAACAAAAAUUAACAUUACAUGAACUACAUCAGAAGAAGACUACCCUCCUUGGGGCAGGUUAAGAAGCCUCCUAGAUCUGUCUAGAAACUCCAGUGUCCAGGGAGACAGCUCAAGGAUGACCAUCUUGCUUGAACUUGGCAAGUUCCUUGUUGCGAUUUCUAACAUGGAAUUGUGAAAUCAUCCUGUUGGAAACUUUAUCAAGCCUAAGAAACUUCCCA